ACGCUCGACACCUACGGGAGGCAGCAGUGAGGAAUAUUGGUCAAUGGGCGCUAGCCUGAACCAGCCAAGUAGCGUGAAGGAUGAAGGCUCUAUGGGUCGUAAACCUCUUUUAUAUAAGAAUAAAGUGCAGUAUGUAUACUGUUUUGUAUGUAUUAUAUGAAUAAGGAUCGGCUAACUCCGUGCCCGCAGCCGCGGUAAUCUGAGCGGCUGGCAAGC
rnacentral:rRNA from 1 species